rnacentral:sRNA from 1 species
UUUCAGCCCCGAUGGAAACGAUAUCCUUUUUUGGCGGGGUUCGCCACAAAAGAUUUAGUGUACAGCGGGACAAGCG